rnacentral:rRNA from 1 species
CACUCCUGCGGGAGGCAGCAGUGGGGAAUUUUGGACAAUGGGCGAAAGCCUGAUCCAGCAAUGCCGCGUGAGUGAAGAAGGCCUUCGGGUUGUAAAGCUCUUUUGUCAGGGAAGAAACGGUGAGAGCUAAUAUCUUUUGCUAAUGACGGUACCUGAAGAAUAAGCACCGGCUAACUACGUGCCAGCAGCCGCGGUAAUACGUAGGGUGCAAGCGUUAAUCGGAAUUACUGGGCGUAAAGCGUGCGCAGGCGGUUUUGUAAGUCUGAUGUGAAAUCCCCGGGCUCAACCUGGGAAUUGCAUUGGAGACUGCAAGGCUAGAAUCUGGCAGAGGGGGGUAGAAUUCCACGUGUAGCAGUGAAAUGCGUAGAUAUGUGGAGGAACACCGAUGGCGAAGGCAGCCCCCUGGGUCAAGAUUGACGCUCAUGCACGAAAGCGUGGGGAGCAAACAGGAUUAGAUACCCCAGUAGUCCC